AUUGAACGCUGGCGGUAGGCCUAACACAUGCAAGUCGAGCGCGAAAGUGCCUUCGGGUGCGAGUAGAGCGGCGGACGGGUGCGUAACGCGUAGGAAUCUGCCUGGUAGUGGGGGAUAACUCGGGGAAACUCGAGCUAAUACCGCAUACGCCCCAUGGGGGAAAGCGGGGGACCUUCGGGCCUCGCGCUAUCAGAUGAGCCUGCGUCGGAUUAGCUAGUUGGUAGGGUAAUGGCCUACCAAGGCGACGAUCCGUAGCUGGUCUGAGAGGAUGAUCAGCCACACUGGGACUGAGACACGGCCCAGACUCCUACGGGAGGCAGCAGUGGGGAAUAUUGGACAAUGGGGGCAACCCUGAUCCAGCCAUACCGCGUGUGUGAAGAAGGCCUUAGGGUUGUAAAGCACUUUCAGUGGGGAGGAAAAGUUGCCGGCGAAUACCCGGCGACCGUGACGCUACCUGCAGAAGAAGCACCGGCAAACUCCGUGCCAGCAGCCGCGGUAAUACGGAGGGUGCGAGCGUUAAUCGGAAUUACUGGGCGUAAAGCGCGCGUAGGCG
rnacentral:rRNA from 1 species